rnacentral:tRNA from 1 species
GAGUCUGCUUAUCCAGUAAGGCUAGAUGAAUAGGAUUGUGAUUCCUGUCGUCGUGGGUUCGAGUCCCAUCAGCCACCCCA